GAGUUGAUCAUGGCUCGAGUGAACGCUGGCGGCAGGCCUAACACAUGCAAGUCGAACGGCAGCACAGCCCCGCAAGGGGUGGGUGGCGAGUGGCGGACGGGUGAGGAAUACAUGGGAAUCUACCCUGUCGUGGGGGAUAACGUAGGGAAACUUACGCUAAUACCGCAUACGACCGAGAGGUGAAAGCGGCGGACCGCAAGGCGUCGCGCGACUGGAUGAGCCCAUGUCGGAUUAGCUAGUUGGCGGGGUAAAGGCCCACCAAGGCGACGAUCCGUAGCUGGUCUGAGAGGAUGAUCAGCCACACUGGAACUGAGACACGGUCCAGACUCCUACGGGAGGCAGCAGUGGGGAAUAUUGGACAAUGGGCGCAAGCCUGAUCCAGCCAUGCCGCGUGGGUGAAGAAGGCCUUCGGGUUGUAAAGCCCUUUUGUCCGGAAAGAAAAGCUUCGGGUUAAUACCCCGGGGUCCUGACGGUACCGGAAGAAUAAGCACCGGCUAACUUCGUGCCAGCAGCCGCGGUAAUACGAAGGGUGCAAGCGUUACUCGGAAUUACUGGGCGUAAAGCGUGCGUAGGUGGUUUGUUAAGUCUGAUGUGAAAGCCCUGGGCUCAACCUGGGAAUUGCAUUGGAUACUGGCAGGCUAGAGUGCGGUAGAGGGUAGUGGAUUCCCGGUGUAGCAGUGAAUGCGUAGAGAUGGGAGGAACCCAGUGGCGAAGCGACUACUGGACAGCACUGACCUG
rnacentral:rRNA from 1 species